rnacentral:rRNA from 1 species
CCUUAGUACGGCGAGUGAAGCGGCAAAAGCUCAAAUUUGAAAUCUAGUACCUUCGGUGCUCGAGUUGUAAUUUGUAGAGGGAUACUUUGGGGCCGUUCCUUGUCUAUGUUCCUUGGAACAGGACGUCAUAGAGGGUGAGAAUCCCGUGUGGCGAGGAGUGCGGUUCUAUGUAAAGUGCCUUCGAAGAGUCGAGUUGUUUGGGAAUGCAGCUCUAAGUGGGUGGUAAAUUCCAUCUAAAGCUAAAUAUUGGCGAGAGACCGAUAGCGAACAAGUACAGUGAUGGAAAGAUGAAAAGAACUUUGAAAAGAGAGUGAAAAAGUACGUGAAAUUGUUGAAAGGGAAGGGCAUUUGAUCAGACAUGGUGUUUUGCGCCCUCUGCUCCUUGUGGGUGGGGGACUCUCGCAGCUCACUGGGCCAACAUCAGUUUUGGUGGUCGGACAAAUCCGUAGGAAUGUAGCUUACCUCGGUAAGUGUUAUAGCCUGCGGGAAUACGGCCAGCCGGGACUGAGGACUGCGACUUUUGUCAAGGAUGUUGGCAUAAUGGUUAUAUGCCGCCCGUCUUGA